rnacentral:sRNA from 1 species
GUUUGCCUUCUUUCAUUCUUUCGUUGUUGGUGACCUUCUCCUAUGACUUCAAUGUCAACAGACCGCAGUUAGUCGUGGGCUUGUGUCGAGCCUAAGUUAAUCGCGUUUUUCACCACUUUAUUGUAAGCCAGUCGUGCCGUCAGCCAUAUUCUACAAAUGCAACUCAGUCUCAUUAUGUCUCGCCACGCAACGGAGGCCAUCCUCACCUGACCCGACUAUUGUAUAUGUCAGCCAGCUUUGAGUGUACCAAAGAGCAUCCUUGGUGCCUCAUGGGUCGCUAUAGAGAACAAUGAUCAUAUGCAAAACGAAUAUGCAAAUGUCGAAAAGAGUAUGUAUCGGAGAUCAACAUAUGUCGUCAGUAAUGGGGCUAGUUCCGGAGCCGAUACAUUAAUAUCAAGAGCUCCAAAAGGUUCAUAAUGCGCUGAAUGAGUGCUCUAGAAAGCUCAACACCAGCAGGAAAAUAGAUCCUGGGACUUUGGACUUCCCCGGAAGAUGUUCCAGGAGCCGUUCCGAUAGUGGCGAUGUCGGCAAAUGCUCCCUUUGUAAUCAACGCACAGCGAUCUUGGUUCUUUGGGGAAGGAACAUUUUCAACAUCCUCCGGUUCUUCUUGACAAAAGAAGUGGAGCGUGGCAGUAUGCUACUGGCGAACGAGGGAGAACUUCAGAGGGCGACCAGUUACUCUUGAAUGGGCUACUUGGCCUGUUUACCGAUUUAUGCGCCGCCUGGGAGAAUGGCAGACGAUUGAAGCAUCUUGACUCUGACGAGGCUUUCUGGCUUUUUAAAUCAGAAGGGGUUACCGAAGCCGAGAGAAUUGAGGCUCUCAAAGCAAAGUGAAGGGAGUAUGCACUCAUAGCUUUCAAGAGAUUACGUGGGUUCAAGCGGGCGAAUUUGAAGAGCGCUCGCCAUGCGCCCGAUCUGUGGGAUUGUAAAACUUGCAACAAGUUGCUGUAUGAUUUGGUUAUUGCACAAACCCGCGUCCUUCGAGACGUCUGGCUGCGUCAUCAUGCUCCAGGUGUCAAGCCAGUUAUAGGUCCAAUAACAGCAAAGGAAUUACCCCGCCUUCGUGCAAUGGGGCAGAAUGUGUUUGACUAUGUGUCUGCCUCACAUUCGUUUCAAUUCUUCCUUUGAUGAUUAGACAGGCAAAUCGUGCCACAUUAAGGUUUUUACUCGUAGCUCUUGUUUACAUUAUUUAGUAUGUCCUAUUCAAUAAGACAUUUAGAUCAGAGUACCAAAACAAGAUCACCAAGGAGCGAGCUGUCUAGAGGUCCACUGUAC